rnacentral:rRNA from 1 species
UACAGAGGUCCCAAGCGUUGUUCGGAUUCACUGGGCGUAAAGGGUGCGUAGGUGGUUGUGCAAGUCUGAUGUGAAAGCCCCGGGCUUAACCUGGGAAUGGCAGUGGAAACUAGAGAACUUGAAUCUGGCAGAGGGGGGUGGAAUGCCACGUGUAGCAGUGAAAUGCGUAGAUAUGUGGCGGAACACCGAUGGCGAAGGCAGCCCCCUGGGCUGAGAUUGACGCUCAGGCACGAAAGCGUGGGGAGCAAACAGG